CGUAAGCGCACGCAGGCGGUCUGCUCUAAGUCGGAUGUGAAAUCCCCGGGCUCAACCUGGGAACGUGCAUUCGAAACUGGCAGGCUAGAGUCUUGUAGAGGGGGGUAGAAUUCCAGGUGUAGCGGUGAAAUGCGUAGAGAUCUGGAGGAAUACCGGUGGCGAAGGCGGCCCCCUGGACAAAGACUGACGCUCAGGUGCGAAAGCGUGGGGAGCAAACAGGAUUAGAUACCCUGGUAGUCCACGCCGUAAACGAUGUCGAUUUGGAGGUUGUGCCCUUGAGGCGUGGCUUCCGGAGCUAACGCGUUAAAUCGACCGCCUGGGGAGUACGGCCGCAAGGUUAAAACUCAAAUGAAUUGACGGGGGCCCGCACAAGCGGUGGAGCAUGUGGUUUAAUUCGAUGCAACGCGAAAAACCUUACCUGGUCUUGACAUCCACAGAACUUGCCAGAGAUGGUUUGGUGCCUUCGGGAACUGUGAGACAGGUGCUGCAUGGCUGUCGUCAGCUCGUGUUGUGAAAUGUUGGGUUAAGUCCCGCAACGGA
rnacentral:rRNA from 1 species